UACGGAGGGUGCGAGCGUUAAUCGGAAUUACUGGGCGUAAAGCGCGCUUAGGCGGUUUGUUAAGUCGGAUGUGAAAUCCCCGGGCUCAACCUGGGAACUGCACCCGAUACUGGCCGACUUGAGUGCGAGAGAGGGAGGUAGAAUUCCACGUGUAGCGGUGAAAUGCGUAGAUAUGUGGAGGAAUACCGGUGGCGAAGGCGGCCUCCUGGCUCGACACUGACUUUGAGGUGCGAAAGCGUGGGGAGCAAACAGG
rnacentral:rRNA from 1 species